rnacentral:sRNA from 1 species
AUUAUUAAUAUUUAAACAUAAAAAAAUCAAAAUAUCAUGAGACGAGAAGUAUAGCAGGACGGGUUUGGAUUGAUAUGAAAUACAGCGAGACGGGUUUGGAUUGAUAUAACACAUGUUAAAUAUUUAUUUUAUUAUUUUAUCAUCACUAAUUUUUUU